CCGGGACAGAGGCUCUUUGACUUCCCAGCCAUGCCUGCAGUGUGGAGAGUCCUGCUGUUGUGGAUUUGUGUCUGCAUCUGGCUUCCAGCUCAGGCCCGGGAAGCUCUGGUCGUUUCUCGCAGAGAUGCUCCGGCACAGGAGAUCCAACCAGCUAUGGGCCCCAGGUCAAUAAAGAAAAGAAGCACAAACUCUGCAGAU